GUGGUCGUCGUCGUCGUCGUCGUCAAGUCCCGGGUCAAUUCGCGAACUGAGUCUCGCCGUUAGUUGUCCAGAUGGCGGGAUUGCGCAUUUUUGCACAUGAGUAAGAGACGCGCGAUUAUGUGUGCGUAUUCCUUGUAGUCGCGUGUAGUCGUGUAGUGCCUCCGUAUACCUUUUUCGUUGGUUGUUUCUCAAACGAUUUUACACUCAACAUUUUGUUCUUAGUAAAAAAAAUAUUUUUUUUUUAAUAAUCAUCGAUAGUACUCACAUCCAUAAGUACAAUAAAUAUGAUUAAGUAAAAAUGGUGAUGAUAAGAAUGAAAAAAUAUUUAAGCGAAUAAUCGAUCGGGCUUAAGUUGACAGCAAAUCAACGUCCAACGUUGUCUAGGUUUUGUGACUGUGUGUACACCAGUAACCAGCAUAGCAUAGCAUAGCAGGAAAGCACACAACUUCAUACUAUCAUACAACUCAACAGUACUCUUACUCGUGAGCCCGAGAGUGUAAGGCAGUGCCGGUGGCAGCGGCACCAGCGGUGGUGGCCGUGGUGACUACGGGUACAAACGUGUGUGGGUAUUCAGAGAGAAGAGAGACAACCAGAGAAAGAAGAUUCCGAGUAGAGGUGAAGAGCAAGAGGAGUUUUACGUAUUCGUGCUGCUGUGUACUGGAGUAGUCAUCAUCAUCAUCAUCAUCACCGUCGUGUGCUUUCAUGUGAGUUUUAGAGUAGUAUUGCGGAGCUGGGAAGAGAGAAGAAAGACAGGAGACCGCGACCACGACGACGACGAUGACGAUGACGAUGACGAUGACGACAAUGAUAACAGACAAGAGAAUCGGACAAAGUAUAUUCGCGAUUUAUAUGUAUGUAUAUAUCAACAGUAUCUUUUAUCCGCGUACAGUAAGUGCCGGUCACACGUGAAAAAAAUUUUUAAAUUUUAAUCCCGGAAUUUAUUAGCCGCGAAUUGUUUAAAUUACAGCGAAAACGGAGUUGAAUUACUUUUUUAAAUUUUUUUCCCGAGUGUUUCAAGUGUCAAGUGAUAAAGUUUAAAAUUUAUGAAAUAGAUAUUUAUAUCUAUAUAGAGAUUUAAUUAUUGAAUAUCUAUUACUGUACGUAUGUUGUAUUUGGUGGCAAAGUGUGUAUGGUAUAAAUUAACAGCUCGUGUGUUAUGUUAGUUGGGUCUAUAUUUUUGCGUGCGGUGUAUUCUGUAUACAGAGUAGCACAGAGUAGACUAAAAGACGUGUGAUGGUCGCUGUUGGCUGUUGCUGAGCGAGACUCACUGGCCGGAAAUAUAUAAGCCUUGAGAGCUAGAGUUUGCUCAGUACUCCAAUACACAACUGAGUACAGUAGCCACAAGUAUAAUAGUCAUUUACUUAACUUUUUUUUUUUUUACUUAAUUUUUUUUUACUUUCUGUUCUUUAUUUUUUUCGAGCUUUGUAUGAAAUGAAAGAUAUUGUGCUGGGAAUGAAUAAGAGACAUCAAAAGUUUAAGACUACAUACAUAUUAUACAUACGUCUAUAUGUAUAUAUAUCUGGAGAGGGCUUUUGAUUUGUAUAUAAAUGUACACGAGUAACAGUAGUUGUAGACUCUUUAAAUUCUAGAAGUUUUUUUUUAUUUUUUAUUUUAUGAUUAUUCUAUGAGUAAGUUUUGUGCGUAUAUUCGUGUGAUAUGUGAGUUGGUCGGUGACCAGAAGGACGCUGGUAUAUAUAAUAUAUAUAUAUAUGUAUGUAAUGUAUGGAGGAGGUGAGGAGAGACCAGAGUAGUAGUGGAUCGAGAGGGAGACUCAGUCGUGCGCGCGAGAGGGCAGUGAUCUCUCGGGGAGCGGCGACCUGACACCAACGACCGAUAGCUAUAGGAUAUAUACAUCCAUCUCACUCUGUUCAAGAUCCCAGACUCCACGAUCUUACACUUUUAAACUCAUCUCCACUCUCAGAUACUCGGACCAUUCCAAGACGUUAUUUUUUUCCUCUAUUUGAUCAUCAUGGUGUCUUGCUAUACUCUCGUCAUCUCCUUGCCUAAUGAGUACACCAUCAUUUCAUCGUAUUACCAAGGUGACCUGGUAUACACGGCAGUCCAUGGGGAGUCCCGUUGAACCUGAAAUGACACCACCUGGCGAGUGACGAUGUUACACUCCCCCAGUCCCCCUGGAGAUAUAUGACACACUAUCCCAUAAGAUGAGAUGACGAGGAGAGACUACUGCCUCAUUUACACACAUAUAUAGUAUACCUGUACUAAUAAUAGUAAUAAUAAUAAUAAUAAUGACAAUGACAAUCGUAAUAAUAAUGAUAAUAAUCCAGUCGUCAAUCUGCGGACGACACAUUAAUGCACACACUCACAAGAGAAGCUGCUACUUGAUGACACUAACCCGUAGAUCCGAACUUGUGGGCUAUUUUAUAUGCAUACCGCAAGCUCCUAUCUACCGGUACAUGUAGUCAGGCCGGCGUUUUAAGAUUGAUAUAUAUAUUCAUAUAUAUCUCUUACGUCUAAACGUCCAGUACCAUGAUAUAUAUCUAUAUCUAUAUUUAUAUAUAUAUAUACAUAUAUAAUUUAUGUGUACGCACAUCUAUUGGGAUCAUCUUAAAAUCUCAUGGUUCAUCGAUCGAGUCUAUCAGGACAAUAAUUGAAUUCAUUAAUUACUUUUAUUAAUUAUAUUUAUAUUAUUUUACUAGCAGAUAAAUUUAUAAACUUUUUAUUAUCUUUUGUUUUCUUUUUUAUUAUUGCAGUUAUUUUGCUUUGUCCUGAGUUUGUAAUCAUGAGGAGGAAAAAAUGUCCAAUCUAAUCAAGAUACUCACAAUUUACAUUAA